UACGAAGGGGGCUAGCGUUGUUCGGAGUUACUGGGCGUAAAGGGUGUGUAGGCGGUUCUUUAAGUUUGGUGUGAAAUCUCCCGGCUCAACCGGGAGGGUGCGCCGAAUACUGAGGGACUAGAGUGCGGGAGAGGAAAGUGGAAUUCCUGGUGUAGCGGUGAAAUGCGUAGAUAUCAGGAGGAACACCGGUGGUGUAGACGGCUUUCUGGACCGUAACUGACGCUGAGACACGAAAGCGUGGGUAGCAAACAGG
rnacentral:rRNA from 1 species